CUCUGCGCGUACGCGUGUUUUUCGCGCGCCAAUGCGCCAUCUGUGCUCGAUCGCGGCGGCGACCGAGCCGUCGUCGGUGACAAUUUCGCAUUUUGUAAUGUCCGCGCCGAUGCAGUGAACGUGGAGUUCGCGAGUGCCGUGUUUAUGUGUUUCGUUGGUGAUUACGUGAAUAGUGUGGCCAGAAUGGAAGCGUUGACCUCGACAGCGAUCGUAUCGUCCGGGACGUCAACGGCUCGCAGUGCGACCGGCGAGCAAUUUAAUUGAUUUUAUCAUCAGACACAAAAUUACCUCGCGUUGAUUCAGUGCAAAGCACCAAAAGUGAAAUAAGGAAUGCAGUGAUGGAAUUUAUAACUCACCUUGGUACAUUUAAGAUAGUGAAAAUGAUCGUGCUUUCAAACAUAUUCCGCGGAAGCCAUCCGCAACAGCAAAUAUCAAAUGAAUUGACUGAAAAAAAUGUUCGAGAAAAAUCGUCGAAAUUAAUGACACAAAGUUCGUUAACUUUAAGGCAGCGAACAAAAACUCACGACAAUAUAAAAGAGACGCUUGAAUAUGAAGACGAACCAAACACAGUUAUUAGUGAAAAAAGACUUUCAACCAGUGUUGAUGCCAUAGUUACGCACAAUGAUGCCAAAUGUAAAGUGAUAUGUAGUGCCAAAGGUUUAUUAGAAACAAAUUUAGAUGAUCUUUUUAAUGAUAUAAAAAUAAAUGACGACUGGAGUGUCGAACCAAAGAGUUUAGGUGCAAGCGAACCUAUUUUAAGUUUUAAUGAGCAUGAUACAAAAACUAUUAACAAUCGGGAAUCUCUCGUGUCAGAAAAUGACAGUGAUGGUGAUACAGCGACCGAUAGUGAUUGUAUGGACGAAGCCGCUCGUGAACAGAGGAAAUGCAUGGGUGCGCGCCGUUUCGGACACAUGCUGAGAAGAGUUUUAUCUCGUAACGUGUUUCCCAAUGUCCCGGCGGCGCCGGGGAUGCCCUGCGCGGGGGAGGACCGCAGCAUCUACAGGCGAGGAGCUCGUCGGUGGCGGAAACUGUACAGAGUUAAUGGUCACAUAUUUCAAGCUAAACGUUUUAAUAGACGAGCCUUCUGUGCCUUCUGCCAAGACCGCAUAUGGGGACUGGGACGGCAAGGAUUUAAGUGCAUCCAGUGUAAGCUGUUGGUGCAUAAGAAAUGCCACAAGCUGGUCCAGAAACCUUGCUCCAAUGAGCACGUCGAUCCCAUCGAGGUCAAAGAUGACGCUAACGGAGAGAGUACGCUUGGAAGGGCUUCCUCUGUUAGGUCCCGCGCAGAUCCCGAGCCACCGUUACCGGAGACUCCGCCGGCGCCUGCCUCGGCGCCCGUUCGCAACGAGGAUCUCGAGCCGGGCUCGCAGCGCCAGUACUCGCUAGAUGACUUCGAGCUGAUUAGAGUCAUCGGUCGUGGAUCUUACGCCAAGGUGUUAAUGGUGGAAUUGAAGCGAACGAAACGCGUCUACGCCAUGAAGGUGAUCAAGAAAGCCCUGGUGACGGAUGACGAGGAUAUCGACUGGGUUCAGACUGAGAAGCACGUCUUCGAAACAGCUUCCAACCACCCGUUCCUGGUGGGCUUACAUUCGUGCUUCCAAACGCCGAGUCGUCUGUUCUUCGUCAUCGAGUUCGUGAGAGGCGGUGAUCUUAUGUUCCACAUGCAGCGCCAGCGCCGCCUGCCGGAGGAGCACGCGCGGUUCUACGCGGCGGAGAUCUCGCUGGCGCUGCACUUCCUGCACGAGCGGGGCGUCAUCUACCGCGACCUCAAGCUGGACAACGUGCUGCUCGACCACGAGGGACACAUCAAGCUCACCGACUACGGCAUGUGCAAGGAGGGCGUCCGGCCCGGCGACACGACGUCGACGUUCUGCGGCACGCCCAACUACAUCGCGCCGGAGAUCCUGCGCGGGGAGGAGUACGGCUUCUCGGUGGACUGGUGGGCGCUCGGCGUGCUCACCUACGAGAUGCUGGCGGGCCGCUCGCCCUUCGACAUCGCGCACGCAGCCGACAACCCCGACCAGAACACCGAGGACUACCUCUUCCAGGUGAUCCUAGAGAAGACAAUUCGUAUUCCCCGAUCUCUGUCGGUGAAGGCGGCGUCCGUGCUAAAGGGCUUCCUCAACAAGAACCCCGUGGAGCGACUCGGCUGCGGCGAAGCGGGCUUCCUGGAUAUCGUCAACCAUCCCUUCUUCAAGAGCAUCGAGUGGGAGAUGUUGGAGCUGAAACAGGUGGUGCCGCCAUUCAAGCCGCGACUCGAGGGAGAGCGCGACCUCGCCAACUUCCCGCCGGAGUUCACCGACGAGCCCGUGCACCUCACGCCCGACAACGAUACCGUGAUCGCCGACAUCGACCAGUCGGAGUUCGAAGGCUUCGAGUACGUGAACCCGCUGCUGAUGUCACUGGAGGACUGCGUGUGACAACACGCCUGCCGACUGCACCCCCACCACCACCACCUGCACACACUACACGCGCAGGCCUACGGGUACGCUCCGGACUCGUCGUCGUCGGACUACGACUCGGUGUGCUCGGAGCUGCCGCGCAAGCCCACGCUGCUGCAGCACAUGUUCUGCUUACCGCUCAACUGACGCUAGACGUGCUCGCGAGC